rnacentral:rRNA from 1 species
CCUACGGGUGGCUGCAGUCGAGAAUCUUCCGCAAUGGGCGCAAGCCUGACGGAGCGACGCCGCGUGUGGGAUGAAGGCCUUCGGGUUGUAAACCACUGUCGUAGGGGAGGAAGGACCGGUGAAGAGCCGGUUUUGACCUAUCCUAGGAGGAAGGGUGGGCUAAGUUCGUGCCAGCAGCCGCGGUAAGACGAACCACCCAAACGUUAUUCGGAAUUACUGGGCUUAAAGGGUGCGUAGGCAGCGCGGGUGGGAAAUCCCUCGGCUCAACCGAGGAAUGGCGCUUGAAACUACCGUGCUCGAGGAAGACAGAGGUAAGCGGAACUUCGGGUGGAGCGGUGAAAUGCGUUGAUAUCCGAAGGAACACCGGUGGCGAAAGCGGCUUACUGGGUCUUUUCUGACGCUGAUGCACGAAAGCCAGGGGAGCAAACGGGAUUAGAUACCCCAGUAGUC